rnacentral:rRNA from 1 species
CCUACGGGAGGCAGCAGUGGGGGAUAUUGCACAAUGGGGGAAACCCUGAUGCAGCGACGCCGCGUGAGUGAAGAAGUAUUUCGGUAUGUAAAGCUCUAUCAGCAGGGAAGAAAAUGACAGUACCUGACCAAGAAGCCCCGGCUAACUACGUGCCAGCAGCCGCGGUAAUACGUAGGGGGCAAGCGUUAUCCGGAUUUACUGGGUGUAAAGGGAGCGUAGACGGUUGUGUAAGUCUGGAGUGAAAUCCCGGGGCCCAACCCCGGAACUGCUUUGGAAACUGUGCAACUGGAGUGCAGGAGGGGCAGGCGGAAUUCCUGGUGUAGCGGUGAAAUGCGUAGAUAUCAGGAGGAACACCGGCGGCGAAGGCGGCCUACUGGACUGAAACUGACGUUGAGGCUCGAAAGCGUGGGGAGCAAACAGGAUUAGAUACCCUGGUAGUC